rnacentral:rRNA from 1 species
GACGAACGCUGGCGGCGUGCUUAACACAUGCAAGUCGAGCGAGGCCCCUCCUUCGGGAGGGUGUCCUAGCGGCGAACGGGUGAGUAACACGUGGGCAACCUGCCCCCGGCUCUGGGAUAACUCCAAGAAAUUGGGGCUAAUACCGGAUAUGACCGCUGACCGCAUGGUCUGGUGGUGGAAAGACUUAUCGGCUGGGGAUGGGCCCGCGGCCUAUCAGCUUGUUGGUGGGGUAGUGGCCUACCAAGGCGACGACGGGUAGCCGGCCUGAGAGGGUGACCGGCCACACUGGGACUGAGACACGGCCCAGACUCCUACGGGAGGCAGCAGUGGGGAAUAUUGCGCAAUGGGCGGAAGCCCGACGCAGCGACGCCGCGUGGGGGAUGACGGCCUUCGGGUUGUAAACCUCUUUCAGCAGGGACGAAGCGAAAGUGACGGUACCUGCAGAAGAAGCACCGGCCAACUACGUGCCAGCCGCCGCGGUAA